CCUACGGGACGCAGCAGUGGGGGAUAUUGCACAAUGGGGGAAACCCUGAUGCAGCGACGCCGCGUGAGCGAUGAAGUAUUUCGGUAUGUAAAGCUCUAUCGGCAGGGAAGAAAAUGACGGUACCUGACUAAGAAGCCCCGGCUAACUACGUGCCAGCAGCCGCGGUAAUACGUAGGGGGCGAGCGUUAUCCGGAUUCACUGGGUGUAAAGGGAGCGUAGACGGCGACGCAAGUCUGGAGUGAAAGCCCGGGGCCUAACCCCGGGACUGCUCUGGAAACUGCGUCGCUGGAGUACGGGAGGGGCAG
rnacentral:rRNA from 1 species